UAAUAAACACGACGAGGAAAAAAAUGAGACAUGCAACUCUUGAGUCUUUGAGCUAAACAAAACACGUUUGUUUUAGUCUUCUUUGGGAUAUAAACGUGAUGUGUACAGACAAGUGAAAACUAAAGACAGCCAUACACUUUUGGGGUACUUUGGCUCAACUUCCUUAAAUAUGUGUUCACAUACACUCAGGUGGUCCGGCGAUUUGCCACAGGGUUGUGCGGCGGGAGUGUCACCAAAUGGCCAAUUUGUGUGGUGCCCCAGAAAACACAAACUGCUCCUGUGGUUUUUCUAUAAAUAGUUCCAUAACUACCGCAAAAAAUGUCAGAUCUGUUGUGAAUUGCAUGGACAUUUUGAGAUCCUCUUAAUGAAAAAAUACAGUGAGGUGUUAGGAAUAACCAUUGAAUGUACAUGUAAAUUAGCAUUUCUUAAGUCAUGAAAAUCGUGUUUGUAAGGCACAGCUUUCACUCAGAUCCAGUCUACAAAAAUCAUGGCUUAUUGUGUUGUUAUCAGACAUUAAAUAGCAAAUACCUGUUUCCUCAUGUGGGUUUAAAGAUUCUAUUAGGACAGUAAAAUCUCACAGCCAUUAUAAAAAUACAAUAGUGGUAUUAUUGUAGGAGUAUUGUCUAAUACUAAAGCUAAUUUCAACCUUGCCUAAAGUUAAAAUAGGCAAAAAAUGUUCAAACUGUUCAAAGCUGCAUCCAAUGAAGGGCUGCUCUUUGUUUUGCUGGGCAGUGCGAAGGAUAAUCUAACAAAUAAAAUAUGCUGUUAGAAACACUGGCCACUCACACUUAUAGUCAUAUUGUAAGAAUGUAUUUUUACACCUUUGAUUUGAUUGACAUUGUGUUGUUUAUAUAGAUAUAGAUAUAUAGAUUAAAUAUAUACAUUACAUCUGUACCUACAUUGAGAGCAAAGCUAAACCGGAGUGAAAUUGUUUGUAUGUAUAUGUGUAUACAUACUUGGCCUAUAAUGCUAUGAUUUGACACUAUAGCCUGACACAUUAGUAACUCAAUGGGGUUACAUGGAUGUACAAAAAAGCAAUUCAAUCAAAUGUAUACUCGACUGUAUUGAGUUUAGUACUGUAUAACAUCAUUGGCUGUACGACCUACCUGGAACUUGUAAGGUAAAGCUGACUAAAAGAUUGGAAGUUAUCACCUUCCACAUUGACAGGCUCUAUUGUGUGUGUGUGUGUGUAUGUGUGAGUGAUUGUAUUUUUUUUUUGUUUACUUGUGCUAUAUUUAGCCUAUGACUGCAGAUUCACAGGCAGAAUGGGGCUUGAGUUUUUUGUCAUUUUUAAUUGACUGGAUUUGCUUUGAACUUUAGGUCAAAGGUUGCCAGGUUGAACACUACAACCAUCACACAUUUGUAUACCACAGUGUGUGAAAUAACUGGCGAUAAAUAAACCGAUAUUAAAGUGUA